rnacentral:rRNA from 1 species
UACAGAGGUCCCAAGCGUUGUUCGGAUUCACUGGGCGUAAAGGGUGCGUAGGUGGCAGGGUAAGUUUGAUGUGAAAUCUCCGGGCUUAACCCGGAAAAUGCAUUGAAUACUAUUCUGCUUGGAGGUUUGGAGGAGGGACUGGAAUUCUCGGUGUAGCAGUGAAAUGCGUAGAUAUCGAGAGGAACACCAGUGGCGAAGGCGAGUCCCUGGACAACACCUGACACUGAGGCACGAAAGCUAGGGGAGCAAACAGG